rfam:Ailuropoda melanoleuca scaffold947_57, whole genome shotgun sequence.
GCCUAGCUGGCUCAGUUGGUAGAGCGUGUGACUUUUGAUCUAAGGGUUGUGAGUUCAAGCCUCACAUUGGGCA